UCUACCUUUAAGACGAGGAUAACAACCGGAAACAGUUGCUAAGACUGGAUAGGAAAUAAAAAGGCAUCUUUUUAUUUUUAAAAGACCUUUUUCGGAAGGUAUGCUUAAAGAUGAGCUUGCGCCACAUUAGUUUGUUGGUGGGGUAAUGGCCUACCAAGACGAUGAUGUGUAGCUGGACUGAGAGGUCGAACAGCCACAUUGGGACUGAGACACGGCCCAAACUCCUACGGGAGGCAGCAGUAGGGAAUUUUCGGCAAUGGAGGAAACUCUGACCGAGCAACGCCGCGUGAACGAUGAAGUAUUUCGGUAUGUAAAGUUCUUUUAUUGAAGAAGAAAAAAUAGUGGAAAAACUAUCUUGACGUUAUUCAAUGAAUAAGCCCCGGCUAACUAUGUGCCAGCAGCCGCGGUAAGACAUAGGGGGCGAGCGUUAUCCGGAAUUAUUGGGCGUAAAGGGUGCGUAGGCGGUUAGGAAAGUCUAUAAUUUAAUUUCAGUGCUUAACGCUGUCUUGUUAUAGAAACUACCUUGACUAGAGUUAGAUAGAGGCAAGCGGAAUUCCAUGUGUAGCGGUAAAAUGUGUAAAUAUAUGGAGGAACACCAGAAGCGUAGGCGGCUUGCUGGGUCUUGACUGACGCUGAGGCACGAAAGCGUGGGUAGCAAACAGGAUUAGAUACCCUGGUAGUCCACGCCGUAAACGAUGAGUACUAAGUGUCGGGAUAAAACUCGGUACUGAAGUUAACACAUUAAGUACUCCGCCUGAGUAGUACGUACGCAAGUAUGAAACUUAAAGGAAUUGACGGGACUCCGCACAAGCGGUGGAUCAUGUUGUUUAAUUCGAAGAUACACGAAAAAUCUUACCAGGUCUUGACAUGCUCUGCAAAGCUAUAGAAAUAUAGUGGAGGUUAUCAGGGACACAGGUGGUGCAUGGUUGUCGUCAGUUCGUGUCGUGAGAUGUUAGGUUAAGUCCUAAAACGAGCGCAACCCUUGUCGUUAGUUACCAGCACGUAAUGGUGGGCACUUUAACGAGACUGCCAAUUAAACAUUGGAGGAAGGUGAGGAUUACGUCAAAUCAUCAUGCCCCUUAUGAUCUGGGCUACAAACGUGAUACAAUGGCUGUUACAAAGAGUAGCUGAAGCGCGAGUUUUUAGCCAAUCUCAAAAAAGCAGUCUCAGUUCGGAUUGAAGUCUGUAACUCGACUUCAUGAAGUGGAAUCGCUAGUAAUCGCGAAUCAGCAUGUCGCGGUGAAUACGUUCUCGGGGUU
rnacentral:rRNA from 1 species